rnacentral:rRNA from 1 species
UACGAAGGGGGCUAGCGUUGCUCGGAAUCACUGGGCGUAAAGCGCACGUAGGCGGAUUUCUAAGUCAGGGGUGAAAUCCUGGAGCUCAACUCCAGAACUGCCUUUGAUACUGGGAAUCUCGAGUCCGGAAGAGGUGAGUGGAACUGCGAGUGUAGAGGUGAAAUUCGUAGAUAUUCGCAAGAACACCAGUGGCGAAGGCGGCUCACUGGUCCGGUACUGACGCUGAGGUGCGAAAGCGUGGGGAGCAAACAGG